GGUUGGUUUGAGUGCAGUGGUGUUUACAGUGAAUUGAUCACAGCCAGUUAUAGAUUUUUGUUCCUCUCCACUCCCACUGCUUCAAUUGACUAGCCUAAA
ensembl:misc_RNA Y_RNA Y RNA